CUUAAGAUGAGAUGUGAUUUUGAACCUACCUCUCAACUGAAUCACACUGUUAACCUUAUGCCUACCCCUAAACUUACAUGAAGACCAAAAAGCUCAUGUUUGUUUUCCUGAAUGUCUAGAACAUAGCCUUUGUGGCUGUGAUAACCGGAAAUGCUUAGGAAGUGUUGUUGAUGCUAUCACUUUCGUGUCAAAGACACUGGAAGAAAAUGAGAAGUCAACACGAACGUUAGAUCCUUAACUUAAAAUAAUGUAUUAAAUACAGUUGUUGAGUGUUUUUCUCAACAAGAGAUUAACAGCUGCUGCUGAGGAGAUAUUUGUUUGAGUUGAGAAAACGAUAGCAGAGAUUCAGGACGCAGUUUUUCGUUCAAAAGAAGAAAACGACCGUGUAGGCUACUUGACAUAAAUCUACUCAAAUGCGGAUCAGAACUCCAGCAGUUCACCCUCUCUGUCUCUGAAGUGGAGGUACCCCCUGAGCAGGAGAAGAGCCCCAGUCUGGGGCAGGAAGACACAUAGCCCACACAGAUAAAAUAGGAACAGGGGGAACUCAGGCCCAGUCAAGAGGAAGAGCAGAACCCACAUACCAUAGAGUUUAUAUUCACUCCUGUCCUUGUGAAAAGUCACUGUGAUGAGGACCCAACUCAGCCCUCACAUCUCUAUCAAGCCCCAAAGGAAAGCAACCGAGAGGGUGACACUCUGCCCAAUACUACAACUGAACAGAACAAAACAGAACCGGAUGGAGAAGACUACAGAGAAUGCGAACCAGUGAUUCUCAUACCCUCUCUGCAGUAAAUCCAGACUGUUCUGAGGAUCAGAGUGAGAACUCUGAAAGUGUCCAUAGUAUUAAAAAUGCAGGAUCUCCUUCAGGUUUUAAUCCAGUCAAAUCAAAGAGAAAACAGAUUGUAAAAAUACAACAUUCCUGUAUUAAUACUAAGGUUAGAAAAUCUAUAGAGUUAUCUAAAGUGAAAACACCCAGUCAAAGUAAUGCUGCUGUUUCUUGUUGUAAGGUGUGUGGCAAGUCUUUUCUUUAUAUGGGUUCAUUAAUGAAACAUGUGAAAACUCA